GGGAUCUUCCACAAUGGACGGCAAGUCUGAUGGAGCAACGCCGCGUGAGUGAAGAAGGUCUUCGGAUCGUAAACUCUGUUGUUAGAGAAGAACACGAGUGAGAGUAACUGUUCAUUCGAUGACGGUAUCUAACCAGCAAGUCACGGCUAACUACGUGCCAG
rnacentral:rRNA from 1 species